UCGGGAAUAUUGCGCAAUGGAGGAAACUCUGACGCAGUGACGCCGCGUAUAGGAAGAAGGUUUUCGGAUUGUAAACUAUUGUCGUUAGGGAAGAAAAAAGACAGUACCUAAGGAGGAAGCUCCGGCUAACUACGUGCCAGCAGCCGCGGUAAUACGUAGGGAGCGAGCGUUAUCCGGAUUUAUUGGGUGUAAAGGGUGCGUAGACGGGUCUACAAGUUAGUUGUGAAAUCCCUCGGCUCAACUGAGGAACUGCAGCUAAAACUAUAGAUCUUGAGUGCAGGAGAGGUAAGUGGAAUUCCUAGU
rnacentral:rRNA from 1 species